AAAUGCCUCUAGAAAGAUCCGAAGUAAUUCGAGCUGUAAUUGUACAUACAUGUAAAGAGUUCAAAUGCGAAGACGGUAUAAUAAUCCGCUCUGAUGACAAUGCUGCGGUUGUAAUUGAUCAAAAAGGCAAUCCAAAAGGAACUCGAGUUUUUGGCACGACUGCCAAGGAAUUGAGAGAAUUGAAUUUUACCAAAAUAGUUUCAUUAGCUCCUGAAGUAUUAUAAAUACUAGUAGGCGAAAUUGAGACCAAAGAAUUAAUUUAGUAGAUUGUGUUUUACGUAUAUGUUUUAAAAUCCAAAAUGAAAAAAAAGAAAACAUGUUGAUUAUAGAAAAAUUAGGAGGAACCUAGAAUUAUAGUCUUAUGGGCAAGGACACUAUUGCUGAUUUACUAACCUCUAUAAGAAAUGCGGACAUGAAUAAAAAAGGAACAGUUCGAGUAGUAUCUACAAAUAUUACUGAAAACAUUGUUAAAAUACUUCUACGAGAGGGUUUUAUUGAAAGUGUUCGGAAAAAUCAGGAACGUAACAGAUAUUUCUUGGUUUCAACUUUGUGACAUCAAAAGAGAAAGACUAGAAAAGGAAUAUAUAGAACAAGAACCUUUUUAAAGCGUAUCAGCUGACCCGGCUUACGAAUUUAUACCAACUAUCAAGGAAUUCCUAAAGUUUUGGGUGGAAUGGGAAUUGCUAUUCUUUCUACUUCUCGAGGAAUAAUGACAGAUCGAGAAGCUCGACUAAACAGAAUUGGGGGAGAAGUCUUAUGUUAUAUAUGGUAAUUGCCCCGCCUAUAGUGCUUGAAUUCUAUCUCGCCCUUCCUAUUUUUAAAAUAAAAAUAGAAAAAUAGGAGAAAAAAAUAUGACAGAAAAAAAAUAGGAGAGAAAAAAAACCCGAGAGAAGCAAAAGUAACUUUCGAAGGUUUAGUUACGGAAGCCCUACCCAAUGGAAUGUUCCGCGUUCGGCUAGAGAAUGACACCGUCAUCCUAGGCUAUAUUUCAGGAAAGAUACGGUCUAGUUCUAUACGAAUACUAAUGGGGGAUAGGGUCAAAAUUGAAGUAAGUCGUUAUGAUUCAAGCAAGGGACGUAUAAUUUAUAGACUUCCCCAUAAGGAUUCGAAGC